AUUGAACGCUGGCGGCAGGCCUAACACAUGCAAGUCGAACGAGUGGCGGACGGGAGAGUAAUGUCUGGGCAACUGCCUGAUGGAGGGGGAUAACUACUGGAAACGGUAGCUAAUACCGCAUACCAUCAGAUGUGCCCAGAUGGGAUUAGCUAGUUGGUGGGGUAACGGCUCACCAAGGCGACGAUACCUAGCUGGUCUGAGAGGAUGACCGGCCACACUGGAACGGAGCCACGGUCCAGCCACCUACGGGUGGAAGCAGUGGGAAAGAUGGCACAAGGGGCGAAAGCCUGAUGCAUCCAUGCUGCUUGUAUGAAGAAGGCCUUCGGGUUGUAAAGUACUUUCAGCGGGGAGUCGUUACCCGCAGAAGAAGCACCGGCUAACUCCGUGCCAGCAGCCGCGGUAAUAC
rnacentral:rRNA from 1 species